rnacentral:rRNA from 1 species
GAUGAACGCUGGCGGCGUGCCUAAUACAUGCAAGUCGAGCGAACGGACGAGAAGCUUGCUUCUCUGAUGUUAGCGGCGGACGGGUGAGUAACACGUGGAUAACCUACCUAUAAGACUGGGAUAACUUCGGGAAGCCGUAGCUAAUACCGGAUAAUAUUUUGAACCGCAUGGUUCAAAAGUGAAAGACGGUCUUGCUGUCACUUAUAGAUGGAUCCGCGCUGCAUUAGCUAGUUGGUAAGGUAACGGCUUACCAAGGCAACGAUGCAUAGCCGACCUGAGAGGGUGAUCGGCCACACUGGAACUGAGACACGGUCCAGACUCCUACGGGAGGCAGCAGUAGGGAAUCUUCCGCAAUGGGCGAAAGCCUGACGGAGCAACGCCGCGUGAGUGAUGAAGGUCUUCGGAUCGUAAAACUCUGUUAUUAGGUAAGAACAUAUGUGUAAGUAACUGUGCACAUCUUGACGGUACCUAAUCAGAAAGCCACGGCUAACUACGUG